UACGUAGGGUGCGAGCGUUGUCCGGAAUUAUUGGGCGUAAAGGGCUCGUAGGCGGUUUGUUGCGUCGGGAGUGAAAACUCGGGGCUUAACCCUGAGCCUGCUUCCGAUACGGGCAGACUAGAGGUAUGCAGGGGAGAACGGAAUUCCUGGUGUAGCGGUGAAAUGCGCAGAUAUCAGGAGGAACACCGGUGGCGAAGGCGGUUCUCUGGGCAUUACCUGACGCUGAGGAGCGAAAGUGUGGGGAGCGAACAGG
rnacentral:rRNA from 1 species